rnacentral:rRNA from 1 species
AAGCGCACGUAGGCGGCUUUUUAAGUCAGGGGUGAAAUCCUGGAGCUCAACUCCAGAACUGCCUUUGAUACUGGAGAGCUUGAGUCCGGAAGAGGUGAGUGGAACUCCGAGUGUAGAGGUGAAAUUCGUAGAUAUUCGGAAGAACACCAGUGGCGAAGGCGGCUCACUGGUCCGGUACUGACGCUGAUGUGCGAAAGCGUGGGGAGCAAACAGGAUUAGAUACCCUGGUAGUCCACGCCGUAAACGAUGGAUGCUAGCCGUUGGGGGGUUUACCCUUCAGUGGCGCAGCUAACGCAUUAAGCAUCCCGCCUGGGGAGUACGGUCGCAAGAUUAAAACUCAAAGGAAUUGAUCGGGGGCCCGCACAAGCGGUGGAGCAUGUGGUUCAAUUCGAUGCAGAGCGAAGAACCUUACCUGGGCUUGACAUGCAGGAAGUAGAAACCGGAAACGGCGACGACCUGUUAAGUCAGGAACCUGCACAGGUGGUGCAUGGCUGUCGUCAGCUCGUGCCGUGAGGUGUUGGGUUAAGUCCCGCAACGAGCGCAACCCUCACUCUAUGUUGCCAUCGGGUAAUGCCGGGCACUCUUAGGGAACCGCCGGCGAAGGGCUGGAGGAAGGGGGGGAUGACGUCAAGUCCGUAUGCCCCUUAUGUCCAGGGCUACACACAUGCUACAAUGGCCGAUACAGAGGGUUCCCAACCCGCGAGGGGGAGGCAAUCCCACAAAGUCGGUCUCAGUUCGGAUUGCAGGCUGCAACUCGCCUGCAUGAAGUAAAAUCGCUAGGGAGCGCAGAUCAGCAGCUGCGCUA